rnacentral:rRNA from 1 species
CGACGUGAGUAACCUGCCUUGGAGUGGGGAAUAACACAGUGAAAACUGUGCUAAUACCGCAUAAUGCAUUUGGGUCGCAUGAUUCUGAAUGCCAAAGAUUUAUCGCUCUGAGAUGGACUCGCGUCUGAUUAGCUGGUUGGCGGGGUAACGGCCUACCAAGGCAACGAUCAGUAGCCGACCUGAGAGGGUGACCGGCCACAUUGGGACUGAGACACGGCCCAG